rnacentral:rRNA from 1 species
UACGAAGGGGGCUAGCGUUGCUCGGAAUCACUGGGCGUAAAGGGCGCGUAGGCGGAUCUUUAAGUCGGGGUGAAAGCCCAGGGCUCAACCCUGGAAUUGCCUUCGAUACUGAAGAUCUCGAGACCGGAAGAGGUAAGUGGAACUGCGAGUGUAGAGGUGAAAUUCGUAGAUAUUCGCAAGAACACCAGUGGCGAAGGCGGCUUACUGGUCCGGUUCUGACGCUGAGGCGCGAAAGCGUGGGGAGCGAACAGG